rnacentral:rRNA from 1 species
UACGUAGGGGGCAAGCGUUAUCCGGAUUUACUGGGUGUAAAGGGAGCGUAGGCGGCUGUGUAAGCCAGAAGUGAAAGCCCGGGGCUCAACUCCGGGACUGCUUUUGGAACUACAUGGCUUGAUUGCAGGAGAGGCAAGUGGAAUUCCUAGUGUAGCGGUGAAAUGCGUAGAUAUUAGGAGGAACACCAGUGGCGAAGGCGGCUCGCUGGACUGUAAAUGACGCUGAGGCUCGAAAGCGUGGGGAGCAAACAGG